rnacentral:rRNA from 1 species
UACGUAGGUGGCAAGCGUUGUCCGGAUUUACUGGGCGUAAAGAGCGCGCAGGCGGUCGUUCAAGUCGCGUGUGAAAGCCCCCGGCUCAACUGGGGAGGGUCACGCGAUACUGAUCGACUCGAAGGCAGGAGAGGGUAGUGGAAUUCCACGUGUAGCGGUGAAAUGCGUAGAGAUGUGGAGGAACACCAGUGGCGAAGGCGACUCUUUGGCCUGUAACUGACGCUGAGGCGCGAAAGCGUGGGGAGCAAACAGG